rnacentral:tRNA from 1 species
GGGCCGUUAGCUCAGUUGGUAGAGCAGCUGACUCUUAAUCAGCGGGUCGAAGGUUCGAGUCCUUCACGGCCCA